GCUGAUGGAGCCGGCGGCUGUGUUUUCUCGCGAAUUUCGCAGAUUUGGCACGUUUUUCGCGUUUUGCAGAGGAUCGGCGGGUAUGCACUCGUCGGCGCCACUGUCUCCACCACUGUGUCGGCGCCGCCAGACAAGGCCACGCUCGGCAAGCGGCGGAAAAAGAGCGGCGACUCGUUGAGCAAGUGCGAGAAGGCGCUCGCGAACGAGAACUGCGACGAUGACAUCGCCAAAAGGUGGUACCUUGAGACCGGCGAGCAAUUGCUGCCGAUUUCCGGUGAUCAGCGGCACUUCCUGGCCUGGCGGCAGGUCUCUUAAGCAUCUCAAAGGUUCGAGUUGAGGACCAGGGAAAGAAUUUGUGCUGGCUGAAUUAUUCUGCCGGCGAGCAGACGGUGACGGCCCAGAAUCAGAUCGUCGACGUCGUUCAGAAGGGUGAGUGAAGCCGUUGCGUGAGGAGCUCGCGGACCUGCCGAGGGUUGACCCUGAUUGGCAGAAGCAGCAAGUGCGGAGGAAAGACACCCUGGGCAGCACCUGGCAGGUGGAGCAGCACCAGCACCGCGACUCCAACUCGUCGUCGUCCGAGACGUCGGUGUCGAUCUGCCGAGAGUCGGACCCUUCGCCGAAGGGCCGGGUGCGCACCAGCAGCCACACUGACGAGACCACCUUCAGUUUUGAGGCGUCGAAGUGAGCAUCGGGCCGCUUCUCCGACUCGCGCCGCAACGUGAGCGCCGAGCGAGGCCGAGUGCCGCGUCGCCUCACCAGAGGGACACCACCUUCCUAACCAACGUCUAGCAUUUUCUGUGAUUCAUCCCUUCCCACCCCUAAUCCACCACUCAAAAAUAAAUUCACUGCGUUGAUGGACCAAAAUGUCGACUUUUCUUUCUUU